CCAGAGUCAGUUCGAGCUAUUCGCUUGCAGAAGAUAGAAGAAUUGAGAAGCAAAGGGCUGGAACCGUAUGCAUAUAAGUGGGACAGGACCCACUCUGCUAAUCAGCUGCAAGAGACUUAUAAAAAUUUAGAAAAUGGCGAAGAAAUGAAUGGUGAGCAAGACAAUGUAUCAAUAGCCGGAAGAAUUGUGGCUCGUCGAGCAUUUGGAAAGCUUGCAUUUCUCACUCUAAGAGAUGAUUCUGGGACAAUUCAGGGGAGCUUUCUGUCUAUGUGAACUCUUUUGCAAUUCUUACAAAAUCUCUACUGCCCUUGCCAGACAAAUAUCAUGGUCUAACUCAUGUGGAUAAGCGUUACCGGCAACGGUACAUUGAUAUGAUUUCCAAUCCUGAAGUAGCUGAUGUAUUUCAGAAGAGAGCAAAGAUUGUAUCAGAGUUAUGCAAGACAGUGGAAUCUUUUGGAUUUCUCGAAGUUGAAACUCCAGUUCUACAGGGAGCAGCUGAUGGAGCAGAAGCAAGACCAUUUGUUACCUACCAUAAUUCGCUAGGAAGGGAU